UACGUAGGGGGCUAGCGUUGUCCGGAAUCAUUGGGCGUAAAGAGCGUGUAGGCGGUCCGGUAAGUCCGCUGUGAAAGUCGGGGGCUCAACCCUCGAAUGCCGGUGGAUACUGUCGGGCUAGAGUGCGGAAGAGGCGAGUGGAAUUCCUGGUGUAGCGGUGAAAUGCGCAGAUAUCAGGAGGAACAUCUAUUGCGAAGGCAGCUCGCUGGGACGUAACUGACGCUGAGACGCGAAAGCGUGGGGAGCAAACAGG
rnacentral:rRNA from 1 species